rnacentral:lncRNA from 1 species
AUGCUCAACCGACUGAGCCACCCAGGCGCCCCAUCUUGUCUUUCUCUUAUCUCUAUUGGUCUCCUCCUCUCUCUAGUCUCCUUCUCUAGUGUUUGCCCCCAUCUCUCCCUCUUCCUCUCUGUCUCCUCCCCACCUCACCCCACACACUCACACCUACCCCAAACCUCUCCCUCACACUGGCUCCCUUUGUCUUGGUCCCUCUCCUGUUGCCUGGUAACGGCCCUCCCCAGCAGCCGCGGUGAAACCAUAGCAACGGGCAGCCUAAGACGUGGCCAUUCGUCUCCCUUUUGUCCCUUGCAUUGCACGUGGAUGCUCCAAUUACAGCCCCAUGGAGGAGUCAAGGGUCUUAGCUGUCUUCAGAACCAAAGGAUCCCAGUUACACAAGCUCCCAUGACCUGACCAUCUGUGAAAGGAGGUGAGGGGAAGAAAAAUGAUCUGCCAACUGAGCAUGAGAGCCUUACGGAGAAGGGGCUACUGAGAUAUGUGAGAGCUCAGUGGGGGACUCCUAGAUGAACAAG